rnacentral:ncRNA from 1 species
AAAGUUGGGGGCUUGAAGACGAUCAGAUACCAUCCUAGUCUCAACCAUAAACUAGGGAUUGGCAAAUAUUAUUUAGAUGACACCACUAGCACCUCAUGAGAAAUCAAAGUCUUUGGGU